rnacentral:miRNA from 1 species
GUGCAAAAGUAAUUGCUGUUUUUGCCCUUAAAAGUAAUGGCAAAAACUGCAAUUACUUU